rnacentral:rRNA from 1 species
GAGUUUGAUCCUGGCUCAGAACGAACGCUGGCGGCAUGCCUAACACAUGCAAGUCGAACGAUGCUUUCGGGCAUAGUGGCGCACGGGUGCGUAACGCGUGGGAAUCUGCCCUUGGGUACGGAAUAACAGUGAGAAAUUACUGCUAAUACCGUAUGAUGACGUAAGUCCAAAGAUUUAUCGCCCAAGGAUGAGCCCGCGUAGGAUUAGCUAGUUGGUGGGGUAAAGGCCUACCAAGGCGACGAUCCUUAGCUGGUCUGAGAGGAUGAUCAGCCACACUGGGACUGAGACACGGCCCAGACUCCUACGGGACGCAGCAGA